rnacentral:rRNA from 1 species
AGCGAACGCUGGCGGCAGGCUUAACACAUGCAAGUCGAACGGGCACCUUCGGGUGUCAGUGGCAGACGGGUGAGUAACACGUGGGAACGUACCCUUUGGUUCGGAACAACUCUGGGAAACUGGAGCUAAUACCGGAUACGCCCUGAUGGGGAAAGGUUUAUCUGCCGAAGGAUCGGCCCGCGUCUGAUUAGCUAGUUGGUGGGGUAACGGCCCACCAAGGCGACGAUCAGUAGCUGGUCUGAGAGGAUGAUCAGCCACACUGGGACUGAGACACGGCCCAGACUCCUACGGGAGGCAGCAGUGGGGAAUAUUGGACAAUGGGCGCAAGCCUGAUCCAGCCAUGCCGCGUGAGUGAUGAAGGCCUUAGGGUUGUAAAGCUCUUUUGUCCGGGACGAUAAUGACGGUACCGGAAGAAUAAGCCCCGGCUAACUUCGUGCCAGCAGCCGCGGU